UACGUAGGGGGCAAGCGUUGUCCGGAAUCAUUGGGCGUAAAGCGCGUGUAGGCGGCUCGGUAAGUCUGCUCUGAAAGUCCAAGGCUCAACCUUGGGAUGCGGGUGGAUACUGCCGGGCUCGAGUCCGGAAGAGGCGAGUGGAACUCCUGGUGUAGCGGUGAAAUGCGCAGAUAUCAGGAGGAACACCAAUGGCGAAGGCAGCUCGCUGGGACGUGACUGACGCUGAGACGCGAAAGCGUGGGGAGCAAACAGG
rnacentral:rRNA from 1 species